UUUGCCUCACACAUAUAUGAGGUUGAUUUGCGUACUCUUUUUGUACUAUCAAGGCGGUGGUUGUGAAGUUUUAAGGUUUGUCCUAAGUCAAAACUAGUUUAAGUUUAACGGUGAAAGUUGGAUCUAUGCGAAAGUUGGGUCUCACGGUCCAUAAUGUGGUAGGCAUAGCGUGAGGCUGGCUUCACAGAGCAGCGACAACUGCCCGCUUCCAACGGUGGAAGGAUAACGGUCCGCUGCACUCCUAGGCCACUUGGGCCUCGCAGCCUACUCCAACGAACCAUCAUUUUU
rnacentral:SRP_RNA from 9 species